GCCGAAGUAGCUCAGUGGUAGAGCAACGCUCUCGUAAAGCGUAGGUCGUGGGUUCAAAUCCCAUCUUCGGCUC
rnacentral:tRNA from 1 species